UACGGAGGGCGCAAGCGUUGUUCGGAAUCACUGGGCGUAAAGCGCGUGUAGGCGGCCGGGCAAGUCGGAUGUGAAAUCCCGAGGCUCAACCUCGGAACUGCAUUCGAAACUGCUCGGCUCGAGUCCCGGAGAGGAUGGCGGAAUUCCCGGUGUAGGGGUGAAAUCCGUAGAUAUCGGGAGGAACACCAGCGGCGAAGGGGCCAUCUGGACGGUGACUGACGCUGAGACGCGAAAGCGUGGGGAGCAAACAGG
rnacentral:rRNA from 1 species